ACGCUGAAGGAAGGAGCUUGCUCUUUCCGGAUGAGUUGCGAACGGGUGAGUAACGCGUAGGUAACCUGCCUGGUAGCGGGGGAUAACUAUUGGAAACGAUAGCUAAUACCGCAUAACAGUAGAUGUUGCAUGACAUUUACUUGAAAGGUGCAAAUGCACCACUACCAGAUGGACCUGCGUUGUAUUAGCUAGUUGGUGAGGUAACGGCUCACCAAGGCGACGAUACAUAGCCGACCUGAGAGGGUGAUCGGCCACACUGGGACUGAGACACGGCCCAGACUCCUACGGGAGGCAGCAGUAGGGAAUCUUCGGCAAUGGACGGAAGUCUGACCGAGCAACGCCGCGUGAGUGAAGAAGGUUUUCGGAUCGUAAAGCUCUGUUGUAAGAGAAGAACGAGUGUGAGAGUGGAAAGUUCACACUGUGACGGUAUCUUACCAGAAAGGGACGGCUAACUACGUGCCAGCAGCCGCGGUAAUACGUAGGUCCCGAGCGUUAUCCGGAUUUAUUGGGCGUAAAGCGAGCGCAGGCGGUUAGAUAAGUCUGAAGUUAAAGGCUGUGGCUUAACCAUAGUACGCUUUGGAAACUGUUUAACUUGAGUGCAGAAGGGGAGAGUGGAAUUCCAUGUGUAGCGGUGAAAUGCGUAGAUAUAUGGAGGAA
rnacentral:rRNA from 1 species